UUAAGCGACUAAGCGUACACGGUGGAUGCCCUGGCAGUCAGAGGCGAUGAAGGACGUGCUAAUCUGCGAUAAGCGUCGGUAAGGUGAUAUGAACCGUUAUAACCGGCGAUUUCCGAAUGGGGAAACCCAGUGUGUUUCGACACACUAUCAUUAACUGAAUCCAUAGGUUAAUGAGGCGAACCGGGGGAACUGAAACAUCUAAGUACCCCGAGGAAAAGAAAUCAACCGAGAUUCCCCCAGUAGCGGCGAGCGAACGGGGAGCAGCCCAGAGCCUGAAUCAGUGUGUGUGUUAGUGGAAGCGUCUGGAAAGGCGCGCGAUACAGGGUGACAGCCCCGUACACAAAAAUGCACAUGCUGUGAGCUCGAUGAGUAGGGCGGGACACGUGGUAUCCUGUCUGAAUAUGGGGGGACCAUCCUCCAAGGCUAAAUACUCCUGACUGACCGAUAGUGAACCAGUACCGUGAGGGAAAGGCGAAAAGAACCCCGGCGAGGGGAGUGAAAAAGAACCUGAAACCGUGUACGUACAAGCAGUGGGAGCCUCUUUAUGGGGUGACUGCGUACCUUUUGUAUAAUGGGUCAGCGACUUAUAUUCUGUAGCAAGGUUAACCGAAUAGGGGAGCCGAAGGGAAACCGAGUCUUAACUGGGCGUUAAGUUGCAGGGUAUAGACCCGAAACCCGGUGAUCUAGCCAUGGGCAGGUUGAAGGUUGGGUAACACUAACUGGAGGACCGAACCGACUAAUGUUGAAAAAUUAGCGGAUGACUUGUGGCUGGGGGUGAAAGGCCAAUCAAACCGGGAGAUAGCUGGUUCUCCCCGAAAGCUAUUUAGGUAGCGCCUCGUGAAUUCAUCUCCGGGGGUAGAGCACUGUUUCGGCAAGGGGGUCAUCCCGACUUACCAACCCGAUGCAAACUGCGAAUACCGGAGAAUGUUAUCACGGGAGACACACGGCGGGUGCUAACGUCCGUCGUGAAGAGGGAAACAACCCAGACCGCCAGCUAAGGUCCCAAAGUCAUGGUUAAGUGGGAAACGAUGUGGGAAGGCCCAGACAGCCAGGAUGUUGGCUUAGAAGCAGCCAUCAUUUAAAGAAAGCGUAAUAGCUCACUGGUCGAGUCGGCCUGCGCGGAAGAUGUAACGGGGCUAAACCAUGCACCGAAGCUGCGGCAGCGACACUAUGUGUUGUUGGGUAGGGGAGCGUUCUGUAAGCCUGUGAAGGUGUACUGUGAGGUAUGCUGGAGGUAUCAGAAGUGCGAAUGCUGACAUAAGUAACGAUAAAGCGGGUGAAAAGCCCGCUCGCCGGAAGACCAAGGGUUCCUGUCCAACGUUAAUCGGGGCAGGGUGAGUCGACCCCUAAGGCGAGGCCGAAAGGGCGUAGUCGAUGGGAACAGGUUAAUAUUCCUGUACUUGGUGUUCUGCGAAGGGGGGACGGAGAAGGCUAUGUUGGCCGGGCGACGGUUGUCCCGGUUUAAGCGUGUAGGCUGAUUUUUCCAGGUAAAUCCGGAAAAUCAAAGGCUUGAGGCGUGAUGACGAGGCACUACGGUGCUGAAGCAACAAAUGCCUGCUUCCAGGAAAAGCCUCUAAGCAUCAGGUAACAUCAAAUCGUACCCCAAACCGACACAGGUGUCAGGUAGAGAAUACCAAGGCGCUUGAGAGAACUCGGGUGAAGGAACUAGGCAAAAUGGUGCCGUAACUUCCGGGAGAAGGCACGCUGAUAUGUAGGUGAAGCGACUUGCUCGUGGAGCUGAAAUCAGUCGAAGAUACCAGCUGGCUGCAACUGUUUAUUAAAAACACAGCACUGUGCAAACACGAAAGUGGACGUAUACGGUGUGACGCCUGCCCGGUGCGGAAGGUUAAUUGAUGGGGUUAGCGGUAACGCGAAGCUCUUGAUCGAAGCCCCGGUAAACGGCGGCCGUAACUAUAACGGUCCUAAGGUAGCGAAAUUCCUUGUCGGGUAAGUUCCCGACCUGCACGAAUGGCGUAAUGAUGGCCAGGCUGUCUCCACCCGAGACUCAGUGAAAUUGAACUCGCUGUGAAGAUGCAGUGUACCCGCGGCAAGACGGAAAGACCCCGUGAACCUUUACUAUAGCUUGACACUGAACAUUGAGCCUUGAUGUGUAGGAUAGGUGGGAGGCUUUGAAGUGUGGACGCCAGUCUGCAUGGAGCCGACCUUGAAAUACCACCCUUUAAUGUUUGAUGUUCUAACGUUGACCCGUUAUCCGGGUUGCGGACAGUGUCUGGUGGGUAGUUUGACUGGGGCGGUCUCCUCCUAAAGAGUAACGGAGGAGCACGAAGGUUGGCUAAUCCUGGUCGGACAUCAGGAGGUUAGUGCAAUGGCAUAAGCCAGCUUGACUGCGAGCGUGACGGCGCGAGCAGGUGCGAAAGCAGGUCAUAGUGAUCCGGUGGUUCUGAAUGGAAGGGCCAUCGCUCAACGGAUAAAAGGUACUCCGGGGAUAACAGGCUGAUACCGCCCAAGAGUUCAUAUCGACGGCGGUGUUUGGCACCUCGAUGUCGGCUCAUCACAUCCUGGGGCUGAAGUAGGUCCCAAGGGUAUGGCUUGUUCGCCAUUUAAAGUGGUACGCGAGCUGGGUUUAGAACGUCGUGAGACAGUUCGGUCCCUAUCUGCCGUGGGCGCUGGAGAACUGAGGGGGGCUGCUCCUAGUACGAGAGGACCGGAGUGGACGCAUCACUGGUGUUCGGGUUGUCAUGCCAAUGGCACUGCCCGGUAGCUAAAUGCGGAAGAGAUAAGUGCUGAAAGCAUCUAAGCACGAAACUUGCCCCGAGAUGAGUUCUCCCUGACUCCUUGAGAGUCCUGAAGGAACGUUGAAGACGACGACGUUGAUAGGCCGGGUGGUAAGCGCAGCGAUGCGUUGAGCUAACCGGUACUAAUGAACCGUGAGGCUUAACCUU
rnacentral:rRNA from 1 species